AUGUUUCUGUGUGCAUGCAGAUGUGUGUGUGUUACUGACUUUCUCUGUUGCUUUUUCAGGAUUCAGCCAAACAUGAAGCUCCUUGUCUUUGCCUGUAUCAUGGCCCUCAUGGUUUCCAUGAUUAAAGCUGAUUUUUCAUCUGAAGAGAGGCCUAAUGGUUUUAGGAUCAGACACAAUGUAAGUAUUUUCCCUGAUAAUUUUUUAACAGUUCAAAUAUAUUUUCUUCUCUAAGUUUCUAUAGUAUGAGAAGAAGAAUCAAUACUUAUCUAUGAGAAGUAUCUACAUCAUUUACAGCUGAAGUUCACAUGGAUUUCAUAUGUUUAUGGUACACUGGAGAAAAGCAUACAUGUCUAGAAUGUUAAUUUAAAUGGAAAUCAACAAUGCCACCAAUAAGAAGUCAAUUAUUCUUUAAAAAUUUAAGCAUUUUCAGUUGACAAAUAAUGUAACAACAAAAAAUGGCUGAAAUUUAGUUGCUAUUAAUGUAAGCUACAACUAAUGGAGCAAAAGCCUGCAGUUACACAGACAAUAUGCCAAGUGCCUCUCUUCUGAUUUUUUGUGGGUGAUGUCAUUUGGUCGAACUGAUUAUGUUCAAUAUGAUAGAAACUUUCAUUUGUAUAAAAUUUUCUUAACAAGAGCUCUACUCAGUGCUUCACAUUAUUUUGACCUGGGAUUUGUCUCCUUAGUAAUUCAAUAAAAGCGUGUGAAUAAGACA
rnacentral:lncRNA from 1 species